GACGAACGCUGGCGGCGUGCUUAACACAUGCAAGUCGAACGGAAAGGCCCUGCUUUUGUGGGGUGCUCAAGUGGCGAACGGGUGAGUAACACGUGAGUAACCUGCCCUUGACUUUGGGAUAACUUCAGGAAACUGGGGCUAAUACCGGAUAGGAGCUCCUGCUGCAUGGUGGGGGUUGGAAAGUUUCGGCGGUUGGGGAUGGACUCGCGGCUUAUCAGCUUGUUGGUGGGGUAGUGGCUUACCAAGGCUUUGACGGGUAGCCGGCCUGAGAGGGUGACCGGCCACAUUGGGACUGAGAUACGGCCCAGACUCCUACGGGAGGCAACAGUGGGGAAUAUUGCACAAUGGGCGGAAGCCUGAUGCAGCAACGCCGCGUGCGGGAUGACGGCCUUCGGGUUGUAAACCGCUUUCGCCUGUGACGAAGCGUGAGUGACGGUAAUGGGUAAAGAAGCACCGGCUAACUACGUG
rnacentral:rRNA from 1 species